GCUGGGCAUGGUGGUUCAUGCCUGUAAUCCCAGAGGCUUAGGAGGCUGAGGUAGGAGGACAGCAAGUUCAAAGCCAGCCUCCA
rnacentral:sRNA from 1 species